AUCUAUGAAAACCAGCGACUUGACUGCUAGAGAAAGUUGAUAUCACGUAGACCUAAGUAUGGUCCUGUUUCGUGCAAUGAAUAUCGCCAAGACUAAUUGACCCACUAGAAAUCACCUCAAUUGUUUCUAGUCAUCUUUUUUAACAAUGUUAAAUGGUUAUAAACAGGAAAACAGUCUGUGGGAUUUCUUCUGUUUCCCGGUUCCAGAUCCAAUGAACUCCUUUCUCCAAUCUUGUACCAACACUGGGAGCUGGCUGCCAAGAGAAUGGAAGAAGAGAAGGGAAUGGUGUCAAGCCUUGACAAGCACAGUGUGUGGCUGCCAUUAAGAGAAAAUGUGUCAUGCAACCAGCUAUUCUAAGCACCAGUGACUGGCAAAAGGAGGAUGGAGUGGUGGUGUCCUCACGGUAGGCUUACCGGCGCUUGGGGGCAAAUGGGGAAGUCCAGGGCAUAAACUGUGGUCCUGGAAAAACUUGUGUGAAUAUGAAGAAGUCCUGGAGGGACGAUAGGCAUAACGUAAGAGGCAGCAGUGGUAAGUAUACAGCUGUUAUCUGCAGAAGCUUAUGAUUUUCUCUUUGUUGAAAGUAAAUCCAUGUCAAACAUUGUUCUAGGCAAUUCAUAUAGAUUACUUCACUUAAUCCUCAUGACAAUGCAAUAAGGUCAGUAUUAUUAUGCUCUUUAUAUUACAAAUGAGGACUCCAAAAAAAAAAAAAAACAUGAAUAAGCAAGUAAUUUGCCCAAGUUAUACAAAUAACAUAUUGCUGAGGUAGGAUUUGAUUUGAACCCAACAAAUCAAACUCUGGAACCCAAUAUCAUAUUUUAGGUAUAAUUUAUAUACAGUAAGAGGGCCUUGUUUGGUUUAUAAUUCUAUGAGUUUUGGUACAUGUACCCAACCUUGUAACUGCUACCUACUCAAGAUGUAGAACAGUUUUAUCAUUUUCCCUAAUCUCCUUAUGAAUGCCCUUUUCUAAUCAGUCCCCUCCCCUUUUCCCAGUCCCUGGAAAUCACUGAUCUGUCUGUUUUCUUUAUAGUUUUCACUUUUCCAGAAUGUCCUAUCAAUGGAAUAAUAAAGCAUGAAGGCUCUUGAGU
rnacentral:lncRNA from 1 species